rnacentral:rRNA from 1 species
CCCUUAGAUGUUCUGGGCGGCCCGCGCACUACAUUGGCACUGGCAACAAGAUCCUAGAUCUGAUAUUUCGGGGUAUUCUACCAACUGGUGUCGUGACUGGGAUUAACCCCUGCAAUUAUUGGUUAUGAACGAGGAAUUCCUUGUAAUCACGGUUUAUCAACCCGUGUUGAAUGCGUCCCUGCCCUUUGUACACACCGCCCGUCGCUCCUACCGAUUGAACGUUUUAGUGAGGUACUCGGACUGAGCCUCAGAAGAUUCACGUCUUUUGUGCUGCUCGGGAAGAUUCCCAAACUUGAGCGUUUAGAGGAAGUAAAAGUCGUANCA